UGGUCUCACAGAAUUCCGUGAAAUGUCCACGGGUCCUUAACUCAAAAUCCGUGAAGCCAUCACGGAAUUGCCCCAAAUUCCGUGACCCGGCCACGGAUAUUUCUCCAACGCAAGUUAAUUACACUGACCUCCCGUGAUCCACACACGGAUACCCGUUUCAAUGAACGGAGUACAGAACUCGCUGAACGGACGUGCUUUCUCAUUUGGAAACGCAACAUUUGAAGUAGCCUAUUUGUUUCUUUUCCAAUAUCAAAUGCCAUAAUGACAUUAACCAGACAGCUGUUGUAGUUAUUGCAUUGUCCUGUCAUCAUAAACAUUACGUUUGUUUCAGUUACAAAAGUCCCGUGAUGGCACGGACCUCCACAACCUGACCUCACUCACUUUUUUAGGAACUUACAAGCUUUUCGUCGACACUGUUGCAAUGGCAUGUAAUUAACUUGGCAUUUUUUCUCGUCCUGUCAUCAUAAAAUCCAGUUUGAUGGCGUUUUACACACAUUUUGGCUAUAGUCAGAACUAAAAUCUGUGAUAGGAGCACGGAGUGAGUCUGUGCUUAGAUCACGGAUAACUCUAACGCAUGUCAAUGACACUCAUCUUCCGUGGUCCGUACACGGAUCGUUUCAGUGAUGGAGUACAGACCUCACUCAAUGGACGUGCUAUCUCAUCUGGAAACGCAACAUUUGAAGUAUUUAUUUUUUUCAACACCAAAUACCAUGACCAACCUGACUGUUAUUGUAACUAUUGCAUUGUCCUGCCAUCAUACAGAUUCACUUUGAUUCUGUUAGCCUAACUAAAAUCUGUGAUACGAGCACGGAGUGAGUCUGUGCUGAGAUCACGGAUAACUCUAACGCAAGUCAAUGACACUCUUCUUCCGUGGUCCACACACGGAAACCCAGUCUCACGGCAGUUCGUGAUUUUGUCACGUAAUUUAAUCUAUUUAUUCGUGGCAGGCACACGUUUAUUUCCUUAUUUUCAUGAUUGCAGCACGUUUUUUUAAACUAAUGCAUUUCAACUGGAGGCAUCUUUCGUGCAUCAGCACAAUAUUUUCUGAUUAAUUAUUAUUAUUAUUAUUUAAUUUUUCACAGGACAACAGAAGAAACUCACUGAAACUUGAAAAAAAAUCGGAGCUUAACUUACUGUACAAAACUGAGCAACAUACUGUAUUGCUGGUGACAAAAACACAUUAAAACUUUUUUAGCUGUAAAAUGCGCAAUGGUUCUUUUUUUACGUUUUCAUUGAUUUUUAUUUUUUUCAUAGGCCUAGAUUUAUUUAUUUUUUUAUUACAGAAUUCAAUAUAAAGUCCUUGACACGUAACUGUAACACAUUUUAACAUUAAGAAACAAUUUAGUUUAAAUAAAAAGAACAAAAAAAAAUAAAAAAAAAAAUAAAUAAAUAAAUUAUUUAUUAGCGAUAGGCCUACAGAUUUAUUAAGAGUUUUUAUUAAGGCUAUUGUAAAGGAUUCUUAAAAAUGCUGUCGCUGAUGAGCCUCUGAUCGCUGUCAGAUUCUGUGAUAUGAAUGUCCGCUAAGGGGUUUAGAAUGAGCCCCGCUCGGCCCGUGUUCUGGCUUACUGUAAUAUUUCACCUGUAAUAAGACCGAAAUAAUAUAAUUAAAAUAAAGAAAUGAAUGAAUACAUGAUAACAUCUAAAUAAAUGUUGAUAGAUUUAGCGUUAUAGUUUUAAAAAUAUUAAUAAACAGCAAAUCAACACAGCUUCGAAAUAAUAACCAAGAAAGACCUAAAUAAUAAUAAUACAUAAUUAAUAAACAGCGCCGCCCCUCCCACUACGCGCAUCACGCGCUGUGCGUCAACCCCAAAGCGUCAAAAACUGAAGCGUGGUCAAGCGCCUCUAGCGUCACUGACAUGAGAUGUUUAUCGAUUUGAAAUCACGUUCAAGAAGUCUCAUUCAGCACACAUCGCGAUACUUUCCAUCAGUUUGCAAGAGCCGCAGGUUGGGUGAGUUAUACAGUCUAUGGUGAGUAGUAGUAAAUAUGCUAUUUUAAUGCCUGUCCUAAAACGUAUUCUGUCUUCUUUAUUAAUCAGAUGAGCGCCUUAUGUUUACUCUCUGUAUUACAUCGGUCAUCCGAGGCUGUCUUUGAGUUUCAUUGUGUUUAACUAAAUGAACACAGCUGCUAACUGGUCUAACUCUAUCGGUCACGUGACGUGCCACAUACCUGGGAUCCGUUUUAUAUUCAUUUCAGGUUCAAAGAUGUAAGUUGUAUUUGUAGUAAAAUCAUGUUAACCAUGACACCUACAAAAGUAGGUAAAACCCAGUAAACAAGACAUUUACCAUGUGUUUUUUUUUUUUUUUUUUUACCACAGUAACUGUAGCUUUACGGUAGUAUAGUAAUAGCACAUUAAUCACCAAAUUAACUAUAGUUGUACCACUGUAAUGGUAGUGUUUUAAUGUGCUUUUAUAUGACUUAUUUCACAGUAAUCACAUUUACUGUACCAUGCUUGUAAUACCUUUUUAAUGUAAAAAAAAAAAAAAAAAAAAAAAACAUUUUUUCCCAUCUUGCAGUUCAAUUCAUAUUUGUUUAUAUCUUAAAUAUUUUGCUCACAGAUCACUAUUAACAUUCUGUAUAUAAUUCUGUUUUAUUUUCUUUCCCCUUGUAUUAAUUUCUUAGCUGAAAAGACGUAAAGUAAGCAGUCACCCCAGUGGUGUUUGUGGAGAGGUAUUCCUUCAGAAAUGGAGAAGACAGAAAGCUGCAGAGGCAGGAUUGUUUGCAGAUAAUGCUGUUCUUCUUUUUCAGAAGUUUUUGGUGGGCCAACCAUCACAACCUUACUAAAAACUAAAAGAGCUAUUACUGAGUCUCAGCGACUCUUGCCACGAUCAGCUCUUCCCAGAAGAGAAGGAAGACCAAGGAAAUGAUUUGCUCAGGAUGAGGAAUGAAGAUGGUCAUCUUGUGCUCAAGCAAACAGAAGUCCUCUGAUGAUCUCAUCAACCAAAUGAGGGGUUUUGACCAAGUGAUGCUCUUGAAAGGACUGAAAGAAGAGGAUGUGGUAAAUUGUCUUCAGAGAAAAAGCUUCUCAAAAGAUCUUAAAACAGCUUGAAGAAUGGUCUGGGAUCUUAGGACUGGGAGAUCUCACUUGCACCCAGUUAACCUCCAUAGAGAACAUUUAUCAGAAGCGCUGUCUGGGUAGGGCAAGAAACAUCAUCAAGGAUGCCUCUCACCCUAACCAUGGACCUUUCACCCUCCUUCCAUCCGGCAGGCGUUACAGGAGCCUACGCUCUCGAACUAGUAGACUCAGGAAGAGCUUCUUCCCCGAGGCUGUGACACUCCUGAACACCACACCACCAAUCUAACCUGCACCUGCUGUUUUACUGCACUGGUCACAGUACUUUACAUACAUGUAUUGCACUACUCAUAUUUUGCACAGACUGCACAUGGUUAAAUCUAUUACACUAUAAACUGUCUAAAGCUGUUACUGUACAAGCACAGUAAACUAUUUCUACAAUAAAUAUAAUUGCACUACUAUUAUUUUGCAUAUAAUAAAUUGUUAAACUAUACUUUUGCACACUCAUUCAACUGUAUUUAUUACCACUGUUCUCAAGUUCCUGCUAUUCAUAAUGUAUAUAUAAUUCUUCUUUGCUCUGUUCAUAAUGUACAUACAAUCCCUACAUUACAUUCAUAUUUAUAUUCUGUAUAUACUCUGAUCAAUAUUGUAUAUAGCAACUCCACUGUAAAUUCUGUAUAUCAUAAGCUUUACUUACUCUGCACUUUUAUGUAUAUAAAACACUAUAUUCUUGCACUUCUGGUUAGAUGCUAACUGCAUUUCAUUAGCUCUGUACUUGUACUCUUUAUAAUGACAAUAAAGUUGAAUCUAAUCUAAUCUAAUCUAAUCUUCUGGCUGAGAACAAGCUACACCACAUCAGUGCUGGAUAUCAACCAAAAGCUGUUUCCAGACACGAGAGAAGAUCACGAUGAAACCAGUUUAGAUGUGUUGAUAAGGAAUCAUUAUUUUCUGAAACAGUAUCAAAUGUCUUAUAUGUAUCACAUGAUCUGUAUCACAGUUGACUGGAUGGGACUGUGACUUUUAAGGACAUUUCAUCACUCAUCUGUGUGAACUGAUUAAUAUAUGAGGUUAAUGUAUUUUUGAUUAUGAAUAAUUAUUUUCCUUGAAUCUUAUUUGUCUUGAUGCUACUUUAUCAUCUUUAUAGUCUAUGCUUCAAUAAAAUGAAUAUGACGAA